UUAAGACUUUGUAAAAAAAAGCUAACCAUAUCGUAAUAUGAUCACACACAAACACACACAUACGGACACACAUUAAGAUAAAAUGUGUGUGUUUACUAAUACAUUGACAAGCCAAAUAAUUAAUACAUCAAUAAGUACCUAAAACUUUCGAACGUGUCAGGUCGUAAAAACAAUUUAGUGUUUGGCAAAUGCAAUAUUAGUUCGCUUUUACUUCAGAUGUUUACACAUAUUAAAGUACAUCUAAAGCACAUACGUAGCUGGCUAUCUUUUCAGAUAAAAAAUAUAUUAAAUGUAUUAUUAGAGAUACGAGCAAAGUCACAUAGAGUUUUAAUAAACAAAGUGAAUAUUUCGUUAAAUGUGUGGAUCAUAUAUUUAUCUAAAUAUGCCUGAGCUAACUGUUACUGAUAAGCAUAAAUAGCGUAAACAAAACAAUGAUAAAUUAAUAGGAAUUGUAUUUGAUCUCAUACAAAUUUUGUUCGAUUUCAAUUUAUAUCGACAAGUAUAGUAUAAUAAAUAUUAUUAGGUAUAAUUCAAAGGCUACUCAUCAUAUUUCGCUCAAGUAUAAAUGAUACCACACAACAAGCGGCAGUUUGCAAAUAAGAAAAAAGAAGAAUCAUAAAAAUACAUAGACUAUAUUCUAUAACUUUUAUCAGUACAGAAAGUCCAAUCACCAGAGUUCACGUUUGAUGAAACUACCACUCCGAAAUUGAGCCAGGCUUGCUUGAAUAGUUCUACCGAUGACCGCAGGUUCGGGUUCUUCUCGAGGGUGCUGAUGAAUUUCGACUUUCCGAUAUUAUAAAAAGACGAUGUGGUGUCACAACUUCUGAAAAUUUUUUGAGUAAUAAAUUUCAUGUUUUUGAUUUAUAA